rnacentral:tRNA from 1 species
GCCGGCGUAGCUCAGCGGUAGAGCGGCGCACUCGUAAUGCGCAGGCCACCGGUUCGAAUCCGGUCGCCGGCUCCA